UACAGAGGUCUCAAGCGUUGUUCGGAUUCAUUGGGCGUAAAGGGCGCGUAGGCGGCGAGGUAAGUCUGGUGUGAAAUCUAGGAGCUCAACUCCUAAACUGCACUGGAUACUGCCGUGCUUGAGGACUGGAGAGGAGACUGGAAUUUACGGUGUAGCGGUGAAAUGCGUAGAUAUCGUAAGGAAGACCAGUGGCGAAGGCGGGGCUCUGGACAGUUCCUGACGCUGAGGCACGAAGGGCAGGGGAGCAAACGGG
rnacentral:rRNA from 1 species